AUUGAACGCUGGCGGCAUGCCUUACACAUGCAAGUCGAACGGCAGCACGGGAGCAAUCCUGGUGGCGAGUGGCGAACGGGUGAGUAAUAUAUCGGAACGUGCCCGGUCGUGGGGAUAACGUAGCGAAAGCUACGCUAAUACCGCAUACGAUCUACGGAUGAAAGCGGGGGAUCGCAAGACCUCGCGCGAUUGGAGCGGCCGAUAUCAGAUUAGGUAGUUGGUGAGGUAAAGGCUUCACCAAGCCGACGAUCUGUAGCUGGUCUGAGAGGACGACCAGCCACACUGGGACUGAGACACGGCCCAGACUCCUACGGGAGGCAGCAGUGGGAAUUUUGGACAAUGGGCGCAAGCCUGAUCCAGCAAUGCCGCGUGCAGGAUGAAGGCCUUCGGUUGUAACUAGCUUUGUACGGUACG
rnacentral:rRNA from 1 species